rnacentral:rRNA from 1 species
CCUACGGGAGGCAGCAGUGAGGAAUAUUGGUCAAUGGGCGAGAGCCUGAACCAGCCAAGUCGCGUGAGGGAAGACGGUCCUAUGGAUUGUAAACCUCUUUUGUCGGGGAGCAAAAAGGCCUCGUGAGGCCACAAGUGAGAGUACCCGAAGAAAAAGCCUCGUCUAACUCCGUGCCAGCAGCCGAGGUAAUACGGGGUAUGCGAGCGUUAUCCGGAUUUUUGGGGUUUAAAGGGUGCGCAGUCGGAUUUGUAAGUCAGCGGUCAAAUCGUGGGGCACAACACCGUCCAGCCGUUGAAACUGGGGAUCUAGAGUGUGCGAGAGGUAUGCGGAAUGCGUGGUGUAGCGGUGAAAUGCAUAGAUAUCACGCAGAACCCCGAUUGCGAAGGCAGCAUACCGGUGCACAACUGACGCUCAGGCACGAAAGCGUGGGUAUCGAACAGGAUUAGAUACCCUAGUAGUC